AGAAUAUCUAAUAAGAGCCGCUAACUCUUUAUAUAACCUUUCAGUUAAUAUUCUG
rnacentral:tRNA from 1 species